CAUGCAUACACACAUAUACAUAAAAACAUACAUACACAUAUGUGUACGUAUAUAUGUAUAUAUGUCUAUAUACACACAUAUGUGUGUGUGUAUAUAUGUGUAUGUAUGUGUGUGUAUAUAUAUGUUCACACACACACACACAUAUAUACGUCAGCUGGAGCAAGUUUCCUUCUUUGGCUACAGGUGGGCAUGAGGAAGAUGAUGAAGAUGCAAAAGACAUUUGCUCUGAGCAACCAUUAAGAGGACAGGAAGAAGAGGAGGGCACAGAGGAAAAUCUCCAGUGCAGGAAUAUUGUUUCAUCCCAUCCUUUUGUUGGUUUUGCUUCUCCAGAAUUCAAGUUCCCCUCCAAAUAACUUGAGAAAGGCAUCCAGCUUCUGAAUAGGGAUGAAGCCAAUGACUCCCAGCAGUUGAUCUCAGCAUAGGCACCUGUGACUCAAAGAAAGAAGUGGAAAUCUACUGAAGAUGAAGAUUCA
rnacentral:lncRNA from 1 species